AUAAUUGUAGUUUCAUACUUGGAUUCAAAAAAGUCAGGUUUAUUUCAUAAGCGUAAGAUGAGGGGAGAAAUGGUCCAUUUGGAAAAGAUCUGAAGAUUUUAGUGAACUGCAGGUCAUUAGGAGUCAUCAGGAUGAUUGGGCAGCGAAGAAUGUUAGUGUAGAUUUAGACUUCAUUAAGGAGGGCACAGGGUCCAAAGCUCAGAGUAUAAUCAUCCUUCUGUCCUCUGCUUUGGUUGGUAGAGAGUUAACUUUCUUCAGUACUCUGCUCCCCGACUGCAGGGAUUCCUGUUUUCCUCCUAGAUAAAGAUGGCUGGCAAUACCUGUUUUCUGUAGAGGAUGCAAUUCUGAGAAGCCAAGUGGCCCUUUGGUCUGUGGAGAGGUGGCCCCUGGAGCCUUGCCUAGACAUUUUGGCCUUUUGCAUUUCUGAACCAGCUGUCCCAGAAGGAUUACUAUCAGAGCUGCGUAAAAAGCUGAAGGAGCUCCAAGUUUACCAGAAGAGAGAGUAAUUAAUGCCAGAAGAAAGAAUGGCAAAAAA